UACAUGGUCUCACAUGGCGAGCAAUUAUACUUUUUUUUCUUUGAUAAAAUCAAGCAUUUUAUUAAUUAUUUUGAUAGUUAAAUUACAGUUGUAUUUGACCCAUUAUUACAUAUUUACAUGCAUACAUGUCCAACACCAACGGAAUGACAUGUGCCCGGUGUUUUUAAGGUGGAGGGUCAUCUUUGUGUAUCCCUUAGUCUCACCCUAAUGCUGUUGAUAACGAUCUGAUCCAUUGUGAGCGUACAUGCAGGUACCAAAUAACAGAUGUAGAAUGUGAUUUUUGGAGUAGUGAUGGAGACUAAAUCUACUUUUUUCUUAAAAAAUUAUAUGGACUGAAAUUGAUUUUGACCGAAAGUAUAUAUUUUACCCAUCUUUUCUCUCACACAUAUAGGGCAUGUUUGUGUACGCACUACAUUCGUUUGACGCACGUUCCAAAAUAAUGUUUUUUAAGAAGUACUAAAGAUUUUUGGCUUUGCCUUCAAUGUCCGUUUGAGGGGUCCAAAACGAAAAAACAAACAUAUAGUAACAUAGACAAUAAAGUUUUUUUUUAUAAUAAAUACUCAACCCUUCAUCUUAUCUAACUCUUAAAAUAUUUUCAUUCAAGAAUAAAUAUUCAAAUUUAUGAUAUAAGAAUUGAAUAUUGAUAACACUACCUGUGUUCCCUUGUGCAUAAGAUUCUCGUCUUUCCUUAAGGCAUAAAAUUAAAUUUAACUAAAAUUUAUAUUUUUUUGUUUCUUACAUAUACCUUUAUUCAAAAACAAUUUUAUUUGAGAUAUAGUUGAACACUAUAUAUAAACACUUUUGUUAAUAAAAAUUUGAACUAUGAUUUGUCAUAAGAUGGAGACUAACCCAUCCUCUAAACACAAACUCUCGUUAGUAGAAUAUUCUAGCUUAAGAUUUUUUCUAUCCUAUCCUAUACAACUUUGCACAGGUUAAGUAAAAUAAGUUUACUCACUUUUAACUAAUUGAGUAGUUGGUUAAUUAUGUUUUCUUGAUAAAAAAAACAAUUAUAUAUCUCUUAUUUAUUUCACAUACUUGCUUGCAGCUUAUAAUCUUUCUCUUUUCACUGGAAAAAUUAUAGUCAUUAUUUUUUAUAUUUAAUGCCUCAACUUAUUUUAAUUUUUUUAAAUGAGGGAUAUUAUUAUAAAUUAUGGUUUGCCUUUAAAAAAUAUUGUGACUCCAUUUUAUUUUUGUUGAAAUAAUUUUUUUAUAAUAUUUUUACUGUGUUAUACGUUUUUGUUUGAAUGGAAUAUGGCAUCACCAAUAUUAUAGAAAUUUGUUAUAAUUAUCAUUUAUAUGAGUCAUAUGUCAAUAAAUAGAAACAUUAUAUUUAAAAAAUUGUUAUAAUAGUCCUUUAACGUUUAAAAAAAUGAGAGGAAUAAAUAAAAAUAAAAACAACAAGGACUAUAUAUAUUUUGUUUAGUGGAGAGAGAGGGGGAUAAUAAAGAAGUGAAUGUAUAAAAUAAAUAAGAGAGAUAAUUGUUUUUUAAUAAAGGAAAACACAAUUAAUUAACUACUCAGAAUUUAUUAAAAGUGGGUAAUUAAUGAUACUUAACCUAUGCAAAGUUGCACAAGGUGGAAAAACCCUGUUUUUAAAGCUUACAAACAUGAUAAAUUCCUUAAGUUUACACAUUCCAAAAAAAAAAUACUUUAUUACUUUAUAAAUGCCGAAACAAAGACAUUCUAGGAAGUUAUUAAUAAUAAUGAAAAUUAUAAUACAUAUCUAUUAUUUUUGCUACUUAAGAGUAUGCUCACUUUGAUUAUAAUUAUAAUUGUAUAUUUCCUUAAUUAUUAUUGACAUAAAUCAAUCCAUUGAUUGGCUAUUCAUUUUUCGACGUUAUAGUAUCAAUUUUAUUGCAAAAAUAAAUUUUAUCCGUAUAGUUGCAUGGAAUUAAUCAAUAUAUAUAUAUAUAUAUAUAUAUAUAUAUAUAUAUAUAUAUAUAUAUAUAUUUAUAAUUUCUACAAUCUAAUGGAAAUGAUAAAUUUUACUAAGCAAAUACUCAUUGUUUUUUUUUAGCACCAGUCCGGGAAAGAGAAAUAUAUAUAUCCAGAUGAAAUAGUCUCGGUCUCAGGUUUGUAUGGAGAAAGAAUUGAGUUCUGGCUGCGAAUUGAAGGAUUUCUGUAUUGGCUCUAUCGGAGGCAUGCUUGCCUUACUACCAUAUAUAGAUUAAUUUACUCGUUAAUCGACCUUGUGAGAAAUUAACUCCUCCACAUUCCCAUGUAUGGUUAAUUAAUUUGGAGCUCUACUCUUGGAGUUAAACUAGCUUGUUGAUAUAUUCCUUGAAAGACUCAUUUAGAUUUUGAUGCACAUAUAUAAGAUCUGUGGCUUCUGUCUUUGGCUGAGUUUAAUUUUCUCAUAGAAAACUGAGAGGUGAUCCGUAAAUUUUUGCUUCAACUCUCUCCGGGAGUUUAUGGAUCAUGAGGUUAGGGUCUUAUCGGUCAUGAGGUUUGGGUCUGGUGCCACCUCAACGCGAUUCGUUAAGGGAAUGUCCUGCAUCAACAAGGUCUAACACAUUUAGUAGAUUGAGAUUUUUAAAAAUGCUGACAAGAGAUCAAUUUUUUAGUUAUGUGUAUAAAAAAGAUUUUGUUA
rnacentral:lncRNA from 1 species